rnacentral:rRNA from 1 species
GACGAACGCUGGCGGCGUGCCUAACACAUGCAAGUCGAACGCGAAAGGGGAGCAAUCCCUGAUUAGAGUGGCAAACGGGUGAGUAACACGUGGGUGACCUGCCUUCGAGUGGGGGAUAACCUUCCGAAAGGAGGGCUAAUACCGCAUGACAUACCGUGUUUGGAUACACGGAUAUCAAAGCCGGGGAUCGCAAGACCUGGCGCUUGGAGAGGGGCCCGCGUCCGAUUAGCUAGUUGGNGAGGUAACGGCUCACCAAGGCUCCGAUCGGUAUCCGGCCUGAGAGGGCGGACGGACACACUGGAACUGAGACACGGUCCAGACUCCUACGGGAGCAGCAGUGGGGAAUUGUUCGCAAUGGGCGAAAGCCUGACGACGCAACGCCGCGUGGAGGAUGAAGUAAUUUCGGUUACGUAAACUCCUUUCGACCGAGAUGAAUACCCAUCGGACCCAACACGUCCGUAAGCUGACAGUAUCGAGAGAA